UUCUGUAACGGAAAGAUUUUACCUACGGGUUUUAUUUAGUUUCUGUUUUUUUAUUCUUAGAUUUGGGUUUUUGAAUGGUCUUUUGAGACUAAACUUGUUUUGGGGUUUUUCAAAACCCUAGAAAUGGGAAAUAUUUCUAACGAAAUUGAUGUAAUUUUGGUACUUUGAGAUUGAUUUUGCUAGAGGAAAGUUGAAAAAAAUUCUGUGAAAUUGAUAAUGAUUUGGAUUUUUUAAAGUUAAAUUUUGCAAGUGAAAUUGAUACGAUUUUGGAUUUAUGAGAUUCUUUUUGAUUUAGGGGGUAUGUUGUAAUAAACAAUUCUGGAUUGAGAUAUUUUUUAUUAAAGCCGUAGCUUCUGAAAGCAGUUGUAGAUUUAGGAUUUGAGCAUAUAUCCAUCCAUCUGAAGGUAAUUUACGAUUACUUGUACUCUUUUAUGCUUUUGUUUUAACAAAUUUAUUAUUUGGAUUAGCUAUUUUUCUUUUUGUAUCUACUUGUAUUAAGUUUUAUAUGAUUUUGGUUCACUAGGCUAGUUUUGAUUUAGUCCUGUUGGUACUUGAAGUUGAGUACACAGGUACUGCCGAGGUUGUAUUUUAUUUUCUUUGUAAUUUUAGUUCGCAUUAUUGGAAUUAUAUUCUGAGGUGUAUUGUUUGAUUUGCAGGUAAUAACACUAGUACUGCACUCCUGUUUUUUUAGGAAAAAAAUUUAUUUGUUGGCAUUACCAUUAGAGUUCUUUCCUCUUGGAGAUCAUAUCGUACUCAUUGAGGUUCCUCUGCUUUAAUUUUUCUUUUGGUUCUCAAUCAGUUCAACAUGAAUGCAUUUCUCAAACUAUUUUUGAUUAUGGAUGUUAUUUUCCAAGCAAAAUAUUGGAUGGGAAAAACUGUUGUUUCUGUCCUGUACAAUGCAGCACAUUGAGCUGGACAAGAGUGUUUAAAAAAGUGUUUCAUAGCGCGAGUCCGAGCGCGCUUUUUUGCGCUUUGAAUAAGAAACGCACUGAAACGUGCGCUCUAGAAAGUAGAAACAAGUGGGAUACUUUUUUCUUCUAAAAGGCUAUUCAGAUAUUGUCUUUAUACAUGAGCUGUGGAAGCUAGAUGUCAAAAGAGAUUAAUGACAGCUACUGAUCACAUAAAAAUGUGUAUAUCUUGGUGUAGCAACCUGUUACAAUUAAUAAUAAUCCAGCUGUCUAGUUAUGGAAAAGAAAAAUGAAAAACAAGACACAGUUGUCAUCAAAUUCAAGACAUUUCUUAUUAUCUUUAAGAUUACUUUCCCUCUUCUUGUGCGUACUUCUUAGUUUUCAUGCAGAAAAAAAACUAUACAUAUGUAUUGUGAGGCAGCGCUUCCGUAACGCUUUUUAACGGCACUUUGCGCUUUAUUAAGAGAACGCAUCGCUUUAUGCUAUUAAGACAAGUGGUUGUUCUAAUUUUGUGUUCACAUGUCAGAGGUGGCUUACCAGGUUUGCAUCCACUAAACUUCCAUAUCACAAACCUUUUUUUUUCUUCUUUUGUUGUUCUAGUAAUGAAGGUUUUGAUCAUUUUAUGUUGAUGCUUAUAUCUAAACCUCAGAUCUGCCAUGAGUUUGAGUGGUUGAGCAUUUACCACGCCUGAUACUUAAGUUGUUGUGUUCAAUGGUAGUUUUAACAUCAAAACCCACAAGGAAUUACAAAAGAAAGAGUGUUUCAUGUCGAGUGCAACUUCCCAUGAAUUUGCACCUGUUCUGGAAUAUCUCGGGAAGAAAGGUUUGUCAAAGCAGGUCGAUUUGGUAUGGAAGGGAUUGCAAUUUAAUUUGUCACUUCAUGUGUAGGUUCAGGAGAGGUUUGAAGUAAUAAGAAUUAUGCUGAUGUUAAAGAUCAGGCAACACUCUGCAUGUCUUUUUUAUCGUGUUCGUUAACUAAAACAGGGAGACUCGAGGGAUUCUUUCUUUUACCAGAAUGCAGAUUGAAAACUUCUCAUCGAAAUGUUGGAUUUGAACAAUAUCUGAACUCUGAAAGGAGGGUAGUUGCGAUGAGAGGAAAAAACAUGUUGCAGAGUCGUGGACAUCUUUGAACAACCACAAAUUCAAAUAUAAGUUUUUGUUUCUAUUUUUUUAACCAUUUAAAUAAUAUCUAUAUGAAAACCUAUGCAUAUGAGCUCGACCAGAACUCAUUAUAACUUCAGACAAGCAUUAACAGCUAACUGUUUUACAUCCCCUAUGAGUUUUGAUCUUUCACCAUGAACUGAUAUAGCUCAUAAGCAUAUAUCUUUGAUUAGCUCAUAAACAUGUAUCUAUGAACAUUAACCUUGGAGCAUUUAAUCUCUGAAAUUAUGUUUGUUGUUUAUAAAUAUUAAGCUGAAUAUGUGUAGGUCCUGAACAUUUGCUUCAGCUGAACUGAGUGGUGAAGUUACAACAAAUUAAGAGAACAAUAAAAUUGGUACAACAGUUGAAGCUUGCUGGAAGACCAGCUAAUAAGAGUCAUGGUGAAUAGCUUCAAAGCUUUAAACUGGGUUUGAGCAUCUUGGCUGUCAGAGGAAGAUUCUCAAUGAUGAACUGAUGGAAGAACCUUGCUCCUGAGUUGAGCCAAUUCUUUAUCUUAAGCUUGUAAUAUGAAUAUAGGUUAACUUUUUCCGACUUAGUGUUGGAAGUUUUUCAGAUUUGGAAGUUGCAGUAUUUUUGUUAAUUGAAAUUGGUAAAUUGAAUAUGCCUUUCAAUACAAAUUGAG